rnacentral:tRNA from 1 species
GGCAUAUAUGAAUUGAACGUCAGCUUCCCAAGCUGAAUGUCGUGGGUUCGAGUCCCAUCAUCCG